CCAUGGAAGUUUGGGGGGAGGUAGGAAUGACUCGUUAACGGCCGUUUCUUUUUUCAACAAUAUUUUAGCCAUUCCUGUUGUGGGUUCUCGAUGUCGACUGAUGAAUAUUGCCUGGAGCUUAUGGUUGCAUAGUAACCUUCUCGUUCGGAAAGGUAAUGUUGCCUCUUUUCAUUCUAUCAUUUCAGCCGCUGAUCAAUUUUUACAAGAUUAGUCUGAUGCCCGGAGAGUUGGCGACGGAACGCAGCAGCAUGCUGCUGUAGGUGGCAUGAGCAGCGAGCAUUGGGUUAGACCUGCAGCGGACUAGCUUAAGUGCUAUAUAGAUGCAGCAGUCCCUAAUGAUCAGAGAGGUUCGUCUUUUGCUGCUAUUAUCCGGGCUCACUCGGGGCCUUUUGUCCGGGGAGUUUCCUGUCCACCACGGCUGAACUCAUAGACAUACCUGAGGCCUUGUCGUGGCUGAAAGAAGAAGGGUACGAUAAAUGAUCAUUGAGUCGGAUUGCAAGCCGGUUAUGCUUGCAUUGAGUUAUUCAACGACAGAUUUAUCUGAAUUCGGAAAUGUAUUACGAGAUUACCUUUUUUCUCAGUGCAUCGUUUGAGCUUUUGUCUUUCCUUUGUACACAUUUAACAGCCAAUAAAACUGUCCAUGAGUUAGUUCAAGUGGCUUUAAUUCUCUCAUGGUCGACAUACUCGGGAUACUUCGUCCCACUAUCUAUCAUAUUCUUGAUUUAGAUUGUCCUUCACCCAUUGACUUUGAAGAACAUAGAAUUGUUCCUUUCAAAUUUUUUUUCUAUAACGAUGAUUACCAAUAGACGAC
rnacentral:lncRNA from 1 species